rnacentral:rRNA from 1 species
GACGAACGCUGGCGGCGUGCCUAAUACAUGCAAGUCGAACGAGAGCGCCCGGUGCUUGCACUGGUCAAUCUAGUGGCGAACGGGUGAGUAACACGUGGGUAACCUGCCCAUCAGAGGGGGAUAACAUCCGGAAACGGAUGCUAAAACCGCAUAGGUCUUCGAACCGCAUGGUUUGAAGAGGAAAAGAGGCGCAAGCUUCUGCUGAUGGAUGGACCCGCGGUGCAUUAGCUAGUUGGUGAGGUAACGGCUCACCAAGGCCGUGAUGCAUAGCCGACCUUAGAGGGUGAUCGGCCACCUUGGGACUGAGACACGGCCCAAACUCCGACGGGAGGCAGCAGGAGGGAAUCUUCCGCAAUGGACGGAAGUCUUACGGAGCAACGGCGCGGGAGUUAAGAAGGUUUUCGGAUCGGAAAACUCCGUUGGUAGAGAAGAACAAGUGCUAGAGUAACUGUUAGCGCCUUGACGGUAUCUAACCAGAAAGCCACGGCUAACUACGUG